rnacentral:rRNA from 1 species
GAUGAACGCUGGCGGCGUGCCUAAUACAUGCCAGUCGAGCGAACAGAUGAGGAGCUUGCUCCUCUGACGUUAGCGGCGGACGGGUGAGUAACACGUGGAUAACCUACCUAUAAGACUGGGAUAACUUCGGGAAACCGGAGCUAAUACCGGAUAAUAUAUUGAACCGCAUGGUUCAAUAGUGAAAGACGGUUUUGCUGUCACUUAUAGAUGGAUCCGCGCCGCAUUAGCUAGUUGGUAAGGUAACGGCUUACCAAGGCAACGAUGCGUAGCCGACCUGAGAGGGUGAUCGGCCACACUGGAACUGAGACACGGUCCAGACUCCUACGGGAGGCAGCAGUAGGGAAUCUUCCGCAAUGGGUGAAAGCCUGACGGAGCAACGCCGCGUGAGUGAUGAAGGUCUUCGGAUCGUAAAACUCUGUUAUUAGGGAAGAACAAAUGUGUAAGUAACUAUGCACGUCUUGACGGUACCUAAUCAGAAAGCCACGGCUAACUACGUG